AGUACGUAUUUCCAUUGAGGUCAAAAAGAAAUUAUUUUACAUACAGGCACGCGUAGUAAAACCCCAAAACAUUUCGACAUGUAUUUCAACACUAUUUUUUUUAAUUUCGACAUAUAAAUCGACAAUGAUAUAUUAAAUUAUAGACUUUGAUAUUAGGAUGCGUUUAUUUUUAUGAUACUGGAUUGGAUGAAUUUGUCUAAUAUUCAACACCAUGAUUGCAUACUGUGUAAAACUGUAACUUACAUAAUAAAGACUAUUUUAACAUUGAGUUGUGAUUGAGGCAGCAGCACGUUUGUGAGCACUCAUAGAAUUGAGAGUAACGAUAAAUUCGUUCAGUUCAGACCCGGGAAAGAAGGAAGACAUUCGUGCUCUGUAAUUCUAGUUUAUGUGCUACACUUCUGUACGUUUACGGCUAGUAGCUUCAGAAGGCGGGCUUGCUAAUCCUGAUCACAUUUUUAUGUACAUAUUUUUAUUUUGGCAAUUAAUAAUUUUGUGGAUUUGACGCCGGAUAGAAGUUUCAUGAUUUUGAAUCGCUGAUCGAUAUGUAUAUACGACUAAUUUCUCCAUUUCUGAUUGCCUGGAUUCCAUUUUAUUAAUUCUUCGAAGCAGAGACUCCUGGUUUUAAGUACGGUGUCAAGCCAACCUCUAAGUUCACCUGCAAGAUUUUCAAUUUCCCGCGAUUCAAGACGACUAUUCCCGGGUCUGGUUUGGCGGGAGAUGAGGUUGGCUGGGUUCCGGAAUCGACCAGCUCUGACGACGAACUAAAAAAUUUGUAAAGUCCAACCAUUUCAAAAUGCACUUCUGGAGAUCUCAGUAACUAGUGGACCAGUGGAUAUAAUGUUGCUUUCUCGUUUUGUGCUCGUUAAUUUUGCUGAAUGCGAACCAGUUGGCUCA